rnacentral:rRNA from 1 species
GAAACGCCGACUAAUCCCCGAUGGGAUACGAUGCUUCAUGGCAUUGUAUUGAAAGUUACGGCGGCGACGGAUUGGCUCGCGUCCGAUUAGCUUGUUGGCGGGGUAACGGCCCACCAAGGCUACGAUCGGUAGGGGUUCUGAGAGGAAGGCCCCCCACAAUGGGACUGAGACACGGCCCAUACUCCUACGGGAGGCAGCAGUGAGGAAUAUUGGUCAAUGGGCGGAAGCCUGAACCAGCCAUGCCGCGUGCGGGAAGGAGGCCCUAUGGGCUGUGAACCGCUUUUGCCUGGGGGCAAUAAGGGCGUCGCGCACGUCCGAUGAGAGUACCAGGCGAAUAAGCAUCGGCUAACUCCGUGCCAGCAGCCGCGGUAAUACGGGGGAUGCGAGCGUUAUCCGGAUUCAUUGGGUUUAAAGGGUGCGUAGGCUGUGCGUCAAGUCGGGGGUGAAAUUCCGGUGCUCAACACCGGGGCUGCCCUUGAUACUGUCGCGCUGGAGUGCGGAUGCCGCCGGAGGAAUGAGUGGUGUAGCGGUGAAAUGCUUAGAUAUCACUCAGAACACCGAUUGCGAAGGCAUCUGGCGAAUCCGUAACUGACGCUGAGGCACGAAAGCGUGGGGAUAGAACAGGAUUAGAUACCCUGGUAUUCCACGCCGUAAACGAUGAUGGCUAACCGCCGGCGACACACUGUCGGUGGC